CGCGUAGGCGGCGCGGGCAGUCAACGGUGAAAGCUCGGGGCUCAACCCCGAGUCGGCCGUCGAUACUCCCGUGCUUGAGCACUGUAGAGGCAGGUGGAAUUCCGGGUGUAGCGGUGGAAUGCGUAGAGAUCCGGAAGAACACCGGUGGCGAAGGCGGCCUGCUGGGCAGUAGCUGACGCUGAGGCGCGACAGCGUGGGAGCAAACA
rnacentral:rRNA from 1 species